UACGAAGGGGGCUAGCGUUGCUCGGAAUCACUGGGCGUAAAGGGUGCGUAGGCGGGUCUUUUAAGUCAGGGGUGAAAUCCGUGGAGCUCAACUCCAGAACUGCCUUUGAUACUGAAGAUCUUGAGUCCGGGAGAGGUGAGUGGAACUGCGAGUGUGGAGGUGAAAUUCGUAGAUAUUCGCAAGAACACCAGUGGCGAAGGCGGCUCACGUGGCC
rnacentral:rRNA from 1 species